AACGAACGCUGGCGGCAGGCUUAACACAUGCAAGUCGAACGGUCUCUUCGGAGGCAGUGGCAGACGGGUGAGUAACGCGUGGGAAUAUACCUAUCAGUACGGAACAACAGUUGGAAACGACUGCUAAUACCGUAUACGCCCUUCGGGGGAAAGAUUUAUUGCUGAUAGAUUAGCCCGCGUUAGAUUAGCUAGUUGGUGGGGUAAAGGCCUACCAAGGCGACGAUCUAUAGCUGGUCUGAGAGGAUGAUCAGCCACACUGGAACUGAGACACGGUCCAG
rnacentral:rRNA from 1 species